AUUGAACGCUGGCGGCAGGCCUGACACAUGCAAGUCGAGUGGGGGUAGCAAUACCCUAGCGGCGAACGGGUGAGGAAUGCUUGGGAAUCUGCCUCGUAGUGGGGGAUAACGUUCCGAAAGGAACGCUAAUACCGCAUACGUCCUACGGGAGAAAGGGGGGGAGCUUCGGACCUCUCGCUAUGAGAUGAGCCCAAGCGGGAUUAGCUAGUAGGUGGGGUAACGGCUCACCUAGGCGACGAUCCCUAGCUGGUCUGAGAGGAUGACCAGCCACACUGGAACUGAGACACGGUCCAGACUCCUACGGGAGGCAGCAGUGGGGAAUAUUGCACAAUGGGCGAAAGCCUGAUCCAGCAAUGCCGCGUGUGUGAAGAAGGCCUUCGGGUUGUAAAGCACUUUUGUCCGGAAAGAAAUGGCUCUGGUUAAUACCUGGGGUCGAUGACGGUACCGGAAGAAUAAGGACCGGCUAACUACGUGCCAGCAGCCGCGGUAACAC
rnacentral:rRNA from 1 species